UGGAGGCAGCAGUGAGGAAUUUUGGACAAUGGGCGCAAGCCUGAUCCAGCCAUGCCGCGUGAGUGAAGAAGGCCUUCGGGUUGUAAAGCUCUUUCGGCCGGAACGAAAUCGACCGGGCUAAUACCCCGGUUGUAUGACGGUACCGGAAGAAGAAGCACCGGCUAACUACGUGCCAGCAGCCGCGGUAAUACGUAGGGUGCAGGCGUUAAUCGGAAUUACUGGGCGUAAAGCGUGCGCAGGCGGCUUCCUAAGUCAGAUGUGAAAUCCCCGGGCUUAACCUGGGAACUGCGUUUGAAACUGGGAGGCUAGAGUGCGGCAGAGGGAGGUGGAAUUCCACGUGUAGCAGUGAAAUGCGUAGAUAUGUGGAGGAACACCGAUGGCGAAGGCAGCCUCCUGGGCCAGCACUGACGCUCAUGCACGAAAGCGUGGGGAGCAAACAGGAUUAGAUACCCCUGUAGUCC
rnacentral:rRNA from 1 species